rnacentral:lncRNA from 1 species
ACCUUAAGCCACUAGGGGUAUCUUUGUACCAUUUUUCAUCCUGCACUCAUUUGGAGUGGAAACCUAUAUUAGGGGAAAACCAGGGUCCUCGGCAUUUUUUUGCUAGCUGUGCACCCAGAAUCCAAAAACAUUUUAGAAAGAAAGAAUCCACAGUUCUUUUGGUCAUCCGAACAGGGCUACGAAAUCGCUCUACUGGACAUCAGCACCAGGGAUUCAUUUUUGAGGUCAAUUUCCAAUCGAGAUAAAUCUAUUGGAUUAGUAGGAUUAUCUGAUUGCAGCUGAAAGAAGUAACGUUGUUUGAUCAUUUGUAUUUCUUGCCUGAUGCUCGGAUUUACAUGGAGGUGGCUUCGGGUCCUAAGGAUUCUGGAUCGUGGUUGCAGCUGGAGAGAAAAAAGGAUCAAUCGACACGUUUUGGAAGUGUCCGUGGGUGAAUAAAAAAAAAAAAAAAAAAAGGAAGGGGGGGGGGGGGGGGCGCAAAACGGGUUGCGGCUGCUUAGAGAAGAAAAAAAACAAAUAAAGGAAGCAUCUUGAAUUGUCAAACAAGAAUUACCGAAUGCUCAAGAUUCCAGAAUAAGCAUCUAGGAACUGGUAAAUACUUGGAGCAAUUCAGCUUGAAUUUGACGGCGAAGUGUUGUAGAAACUGUCUCCUUCAAUUAUUGGAAGGGGACUGGGGAAAGAUGAGGGGGCUCCCUCUGUGGAUUUAUCUUAUUGAGGGAUAUAGACCUGCAGCCAACUGGAUUUGAUUUGUAAGCGGGAAAUGUACAGUCAGUGGCCACUCUCACCACAUUGCUACGAUGGAAAACAGAAUAGUCAAUAGGAUAUGGUCUGAUAAAUAGUGAUAAUUGAAGAUGUUACUUCAAUACACAUGAAAUCAGUGGAGAUACUGGCUGCACGAAGAGCUUUCUGAGCUUUUCUUGACAAACUCGCCUUUAAGAAAUCAGAGGUGUAGUCUACCAAUAUACGGUUUUUCUCAAGUGGAUACAAAUACCUUUGACUCACUGUAACCAGACAAC